CAUCUGCAGGAUGUCAGCAAUUUAUUGUGGCCUGUGACUUUGGACAAGAUGGAGUGUGAACCGCAACACUGCCUGCCAGACCUCCAACACUUGAGGGUGGGUGUUGUCAUCUGCAGGCUGUCAGCAAUUCAUUGUGGCCUGUGACUUUGGACAAGAUGGAGUGUGAACCGCAACACUCCCUGCCAGGCCUCCAACACUCGAGGGUGGGUGUUGUCAUCUGCAGGCUGUCAGCAAUUCAUUGUGGCCUGUGACUUUGGACAAGAUGGAGUGUGAUCCGCAACACUGCCUGCCAGACUUCCAACACUUGAGGGUGGGUGUUGUCAUCUGCAGGCUGUCAGCAAUUCAUUGUGGCCUGUGACUUUGGACAAGAUGGAGUGUGAUCCGCAACACUGCCUGCCAGACCUCCAACACUCGAGGGCUGUCAGCAAUUCAUUGUGGCCUGUGACUUUGGACAAGAUGGAGUGUGAACCGCAACACUGCCUGCCAGGCCUCCAACACUUGAGGGUGGGUGUUGUCAUCUGCAGGCUGUCCGCAAUUCAUUGUGGCCUGUGACUGUGGACAAGAUGGAGUGUGAACCGCAACACUGCCUGCCAGGACAUCCAACACUUGACGAGUAAAAUCCCAUUGCAGUCAUUGAUGUGCUCUUAUGACCUGCCAUCGGGUGCGAUGUGGAUGACCUCCAAUCAUCUGCUAGGAGUAAACAACGCCAUGCCCAGUGCAGUUUGUGUUCUACAUUUGGUGUUUACUUGAAGAGUAAUGAACAAAUUCUAGUGUUCCAAUAGCAAUAUGACCUGCCAUCAAGUGUGAUGUGGAUGACAUGUAGUCAUCCACCAGCAGUGCCAUGCCCAAUGCUCUUUGUGUUCUACAUUGGUGUUUGCUUGGAGAGUAAUGAAGAUGUUUUACUGAUUACUAACUAAUACCAACUUGGUUUGUUUUAUCUAAUAAACAACAUUGCAUAGGUUAACCCCAUGCGUACGGGAAGCGGUCAUGGCCACAGCUGCUAUAAUCCUCAUUGGAAUGCAGUUGCCAGCUGUGGUAUGCCGUGGCACACUGCUAGUGGGUAGUUCCACAGC